CCUACGGGAGGCUGCAGUGAGGAAUAUUGGUCAAUGGACGAGAGUCUGAACCAGCCAAGUAGCGUGAGGGAUGACUGCCCUAUGGGUUGUAAACUUCUUUUAUAAAGGAAUAAAACGAGGCACGUGUGCCUUUUUGCAUGUACUUUAUGAAUAAGGAUCGGCUAACUCCGUGCCAGCAGCCGCGGUAAUACGGAGGAUCCGAGCGUUAUCCGGAUUUAUUGGGUUUAAAGGGAGCGUAGAUGGGUUGUUAAGUCAGUUGUGAAAGUUUGCGGCUCAACCGUAAAAUUGCAAUUGAUACUGGAAGUCUUGAGUACAGUUGAGGUAGGCGGAAUUCGUGGUGUAGCGGUGAAAUGCUUAGAUAUCACGAAGAACCCCGAUUGCGAAGGCAGCUUACUAAACUGUGACUGACAUUGAUGCUCGAAAGUGUGGGUAUCAAACAGGAUUAGAUACCCCUGUAGUC
rnacentral:rRNA from 1 species